rnacentral:rRNA from 1 species
UACGUAGGGUGCGAGCGUUAAUCGGAUUUACUGGGCGUAAAGCGUGCGCAGGCGGUCCGCUAAGACAGGUGUGAAAUCCCUGGGCUCAACCUAGGAAUUGCGCUUGUGACUGGCGGGCUAGAGUACGGUAGAGGGGGGUGGAAUUCCUGGUGUAGCAGUGAAAUGCGUAGAGAUCAGGAGGAACACCGAUGGCGAAGGCAGCCCCCUGGGCCUGUACUGACGCUCAGGCAAGAAAGCGUGGGGAGCAAACAGG